UUCUAAGAUGUAACCGAACCGGCAAGGAAACUUCUUCCUUCUUUAGUACUCUUAACCGCCUAACCUAACGCCCAAUCCACUCUCGUCCUCACCGUCAGAUCAUUCCACUCGCUCAUUCAACCCUUCGAUCAUCAACAACUUUUUCUAAUCCAUCAAAGAAAUCCCUAGCCCCUUUAUUUAAUUCCCAAUUCAACGCCCUAUUCCUAAAAUUUUCCAUUUUCCACAAUAUUUUCCCUUCAUCAAUUCCAUUUUCGUCUUUUUUUCUCAUCGAUUCAAAUCUGAUUAUCAUCAUGAGAUUCAAGAAAGGUAGCAAAGUUGAGGUAUUGACCAAGGAGGAGGUUCCAACCGGGGCAUGGCGUUGUGCUGAGAUUAUCUCGGGCAACGGCCAUACAUAUAGUGUGAAGUACGGUUGGUUUCCGAUCACUGGCGAGGCGGCAGCGGUGGAAAGAGUCCCUAGGAAAGCGAUUAGGCCUUGCCCUCCUCCUAUGAACGGGAACAAUAAUUGGGUUUCUGGUGAUAUCGUAGAGGUGUUCGAUGACUUGUCCUGGAAACCGGCGGUGAUUGUUAAGGUUCUCGGUGGAAACAACUUUUCCGUUAGGAUUCUUGGGUCGAGUAGCGAACUCAAAGCGCAUCAAUCUCGAUUGCGUAUUCGGCAGUCUUGGGAAGAUGGCUAUUGGUUCCUCGUUGGAAAGGGUUCAUCAAAUUCCACUGGGCCGCAGAAAAGGAAAAGAUCUUCGCUUGGCUUCUCAUAUAUUGGUGCUCAAAAGAAGAGGGUGUUGGAGAAAGGUAGUAAUGGUGUUCAAAGAAUAAUAAUUCGGCUUCCUUCGCCUGCCUCUGAAAAGGUAGAUGCAUUUGAUUCCCCAAAUAAUAUGCUGGGUGAAAGAUGUAUGCCUUCUUCCUUUAAUAGAAUUGAUGAUACCAUGAGUUGUGCCUCCUCUGUUGGUAGUUGUAGUGGUUUAGGGAAUAACGGUCUUAAUUUGUCUAAUUUUGUAACUAACGCUUGUGAAAACUUAGAGGAGGAUUUUCGAAGUGAUGCUGACUCUAAACCAGAAGUGAGUUGUCAAGAAGAAGGAAGUUAUGUUUCCACUAGUGUGGAAUUGGGGUAUGACUUCCAUAGGUCUGAACUGCAUGCCUAUCAGAAAGCUCUAGGGGCAUUGCAUGCUUCUGGGCCUUUGACUUGGGAUGAAGAAGAAAAGAAUAUCUCAUGGCCAAUGUUGGAGGCAUCCAUACCUUGCUUCUAGAGCCAUGAUUGGUUGAGUUUGUCAUCUCUUGCAGUUGACCAAGGGGCAACAGCCAUGGUUUAUUCCUAAACGAACUCUUAUGCCCUGCUGUUGAUGCCCUACUAUGUAAAUUGAUAUUGCAGUGACACGUCUGGAAAGAAAAAUACAUGAUAUGGAAAAAAAAAUGCAUAAUCUUAAGAAAUGGACAACUAUAAUAGUUGGAAAGCUUUUGCGUCUCCAGAAUGUAUGUAUAAUAAUGAACGUUUUAAGUAGGAUGAUUAAUGACACUCUCCCUCCCGUCUUUUGUGCACAGACUAGUAACCUUAAAUGCUCGAGUAUUGACCAGAAUAUUUGAUCAUCUCGUGACUCUAAAAAAAUCAACUUUGGCCUUUUUCGGUCUUCAUUAUUACUUUCUCAAUGUAAACAAGUUCGUAAAUGAUGAUUUAUGACAUUUGAUCAAAAGCUGUUCUAACUUCAUAGGUGGUUGCUUGAUUUUGUUAGAUGGAUGCAUGUAUAUCCAUUCGGGACACCAGGUUCAAAAAUCUUCCCAUGUGAUGUAGGAGUUAUUUUGUCCUUGCAUGAUAUUAUUUGUUUUCAAUCUUAAUGAAAUUUGCAUGAAAAAUCCUUGUGUUAGCAUCAAUGAAUAAAGAACCAAACUGUAUGGUUGAACUGGUAAUUGGUGACUUGUUUGGUCCAAUAAGUGGCAUUUAACUGGUAAAGAAUAAAUUAGUUCAAUAAUUUAAUCGCUUUUAGGUUUUAAUUAUAAUGACUCAACUCUUUGUUCUAUUUGCAUGAAAAAAAUCCUUGUGUUAGCAUCAAUGAAUGAAGAACCAAACUGGAUGAUUGAACUGGUAAUUGGUGACUUGUUUGGUCCAACAACUGGCAUUUAGCCAUGAACUUAUCAAGAAAUAUUAAUAUUGAUUGUAUUUUAAACACCAUCCGAAUGUACUUUUAAAAGUUAGACUACAUUUAAUAUUGAUUCAACAUUAAUAUGGUACAUGUUAUGUGUAAAUCUAUUUUCAGUUAACAUUGGCCGGAAGCGGUUGGACUAACCCUCCACUUCAACCUAUUUUCUGGUCACUUAUUCGUUAGUACUUAACCCCUAAUAAUGUGCAGUGGUGUGAAUCUAUGUUAUGGAUAACAUGGACUUUUCCUGUGAUCAUGUACACGGUCUGAGCAUUGGAAGGCUUGUUGAGGAUAAGUGUCUGUUUCUAUAAUCAUAUAUCAGGUUCUUAUUCACUUCUGAAUGCAGACAUGUACUGAAACAAGUGGUUCAGUUUAUGUCAUGUACAAUGGAUGAGAAUUCAUGCUGUCAGCGACAUUGUCUGUUUUCCCUAAUCAUGUACCGUGGCGAGUCUUCGAAAGACUUGUAUGGGCUGAUGUUUGAUGUGAAAAGAUUGUUAUAUCCUUUGAUUCUAGGCAGGUUCUUAUCAAUUGGUAAGUCUCAGUUACUGCUUUACAUGUGCUGCAAUUUGGGGUUAUUGUUUUGCAUUUUUUUGGACAUUUUGUUCUUCUGUAUUUUAACAUGGGUGGAUUUCAUGUUUUAUAUAUUUAUGUAAAUAUUUUCCGGUUCAGGUUCAUAUUGGAAAAAAAAAAUCCCUUCAAAUUGAUUUUUUUUUUUUUUUGAAGAUUUCAUCAUUGGCUUAUGGAAAAGUGAACCAUCAAUAAUUUUCCAUUUUCAACGACAAUUUCCCUAAUGUUCCUUUUUUUUCUUGGAUUCACAUCUGAUUCAUUGGUAACGAGAUUCAGAAAGGUAGCAAAGUUGAGGUAUUGACCGAGGAGAUUCCAACUGGUGCUUUGCAUUCUGUUGAGAUUAUCUCUGGUAAUGGCCAUACGUAUGGCGUGAAUGCAGUUGGUCUCGGUUUCUGAACACUGAAGAGGCAUCGGCUAUGGGGAGAGCCCCUAGUAAAGCGAUUAGGCCUUGCUGCCCUUCUAUAAAUGGAAACGCUAAUUGGGUUCAUGGUGGUGCUCUAGAGGUAGUGGACAAGUUUUCUGUUAGGAUUCUUGGAUCAAGUAGCAAACUAAGCACAUCAAUCUCGACUGCCUGUUUUACAAUCUUGGGAAGAUGGCAAUAGGAUUCUGGUUGGAAGGUAAAUCCUUUUGAUUCUUGUUUUUUGAAGGAUAGUUCUAAUAUUGCUCUUCAUUAGAUGUAACUGAUUCUUGCCUUAAUUAUUAUUUUCUACCUCAUGAUUAUCAUAUCCCACUGGGCCACUGAGGAGGAAAAGAUCUUACUUGGCUUCUCCAUUGUGGUGCGCAAAAGAAGAGGGUGCUUGAGGAACGUAGUAAUGGUGUUCAAAAGAUAGUACUUCGGCUUCCUUUGUGUGCUUGCGUUUGUUUCCCCAAAUAAUAUACUUCGUGAAAGAUGUGUCCCGUUCUUCCUUUAAUAGAAUUGAUGAUACCAUGAGUAGUGUUAUGUUUUACUCUAAUUAACUCUAGAGUUCCAAUUUUGUAAUUGCUUUAAUAGUUUCUUUUCCUGUCUUCAUAAUUGAGGCCUUUGUUCUUUAUGCAA